GACUAGGGAUGACAACCGAAGUUGAACGACAAAGCAUGCGCGGCUAAAUCUUUCAGUGACUUCCGCCCGGAUGAACGUUUACACGGUUUGACUUAAUUAUUCGUUUUUUCUGAUUCUUGUAAACUGGUAUAUCUUGACCACUUGUGUUGGAUUACUGGUAAACGUUUCUUGUGUUUGAAUUACUUGUCAUUUAUUAAGCGUAUUGGCAACUUUCUUGCGUUGUUAGCGGGUUGGUAAAUUGGUGGGUAAUUGAUACAAUCAAACGGGUUAUUAGGUUGCAUAGUGAAUCUUAAAAACUAUCCCUAUUAACUAAUCAAAUUCAUUAAUUCCGAGGCCAUGUCUGUGUGGUGUUUUGAAUCAGAAAACAGAUUUUUAUAUUAAAACGGGUAUUCGGGAUUCCGGGUGGAGGUUACUUCUUCUCAUCUUGAUAACACUUUUCGUGACAAAUCGUGUUUUCUUUUAAAACGACAAACAAACCCCCAAUUUAGAUAGUUUAGUUUUAAUUAAUUUUCUUUAACGCUAACCACAAAUUCCCCGUGGAUACGAUACCCUACUUACGCUAUCUACGUAGCUUAUUUAGGUUUUUGAUUGACCCUUACGACAGUCAUCAAAAUGGCGCCGUUGCCGGGGAAUUACUGUGUUUGUGCAGGAUGA
rnacentral:lncRNA from 1 species